rnacentral:rRNA from 1 species
GACGAACGUUGGCGGCGUGCUUAAUACAUGCAAGUCAACUGAAGCAGUGGUAGCAAUAUCGCUGUGGAGGUGGCGCACGGGUGAGUAACACGUAGGUAAUCUGCCUUCAGGUCUGGCAUAACUCCGGGAAACCGGGGCUAAUAGCAGAUGAUGCAGCGGCUCGACAUCGAGACAGUUGUUAAAGCUAUGGCGCCUGAAGAUGAGCCUGAGUCUGAUUAGCUAGUUGGCGGGGUAACGGCCCACCAAGGCAACGAUCAGUAGCUGGUCUGAGAGGAUGAUCAGCCACACUGGAACUGAGACACGGUCCAGACUCCUACGGGAGGCAGCAGUAAGGAAUAUUGCUCAAUGGGAGAAAUCCUGAAGCAGCAACGCCGCGUGAGGGACGAAGGGCUUUUGCUUGUAAACCUCUGUAGUGAGAGAAAAAAAUCCCAAUCUUUGGGACAUGAUGGUAUCUCAAAAGUAAGCCCCGGCUAACUGCGUG